AGUGAACGCUGGCGGUAGGCCUAACACAUGCAAGUCGAACGGCAGCACAGUAAGAGCUUGCUCUUACGGGUGGCGAGUGGCGGACGGGUGAGGAAUACAUCGGAAUCUACUUUUUCGUGGGGGAUAACGUAGGUAAACUUACGCUAAUACCGCAUACGACCUACGGGUGAACGCAGGGGAUCUUCGGACCUUGCGCGAUUGAAUGAGCCGAUGUCGGAUUAGCUAGUUGGCGGGGUAAAGGCCCACCAAGGCGACGAUCCGUAGCUGGUCUGAGAGGAUGAUCAGACACACUGGAACUGGGACACGGUCCAGACUCCUACGGGAGGCAGCAGUGGGGAAUAUUGGACAAUGGGCGCAAGCCUGAUCCAGCCAUACCGCGUGGGUGAAGAAGGCCUUCGGGUUGUAAAGCCCUUUUGUUGGGAAAGAAAAGCAGCAGGUUAAUACCCCGCUGUUCUGACGGUACCCAAAGAAUAAGCAACGGCUAACUUCGUG
rnacentral:rRNA from 1 species